rnacentral:rRNA from 1 species
AUGCAUUGGAUGUGUUCGCCGGCAAGCUCAGUGGCAUGGCGGCGCGCUUCGCGGGGCUCGGGUCGACGCUGGACGCUGGACGCCGCCGCGAUGGUGAAGAAGCUCCUUGAUUCUGUCCAGGACCGCCUGUACACGGCGGUGGCCGGAAAUGAGCAGUUAUGUGAUGUCUCCACCAUGGCGUUCGAGGAGGCAUUUGGUCGUCUUAAGGCAUUCGAUGAGCGGCUACAACGACAUGAACAAGCGGGCGGCGAGCGGGCUGAUGGUCAGCUCAUGUACACGGCAGCGCAGUGGCGGAGCGGGCGCUGA